GUGAGCCGAGAUCGCGCCAUUGCACUCUAGCCUGGGCGACAGAAGAAGACUCUGUCUCAAAAAAUAAAAAAUAAAUAAAUAAUAAAUAAAUAAACAGUAAAAAUAAACAGGAGGGAGAAGGCACUGGGAGCUAAUAAGCUCAGCCAUUGGCAGAGUCAUUUUGCACUGCAAACUUCAUUACAGUGAUUCCAGAGAUAGUACUUAAAAAUGAACUUUGGAUAAUGUUCCAAUUGAGAGUUUUCUGUACUCAAGAAAUGUACCACAACAGCACAGACUGGGGUUAGACAAGAAGGAGCAGAGGGGCACCAGAAGAAGCCUAGGAAACUUAGAGCAUUGCAAGAAAGAGAGGAAUCUAGACUGCCAAACAGCCUGUCCUCUUAGCUGUGCUUGUCAAAAGGUUUUUACCUCAGAAUCCCAGGGUAUAUCUUGGUUAUAAACAACUAGUAUAUGUCUAAGUUAACAGCUUAGUAACCUGAGUACAGUUAUGUAGCAGAAGUUUUAAUCAUUUUCCACAUUUUCUUUUUUUGUCGUCUUAAGGAUUUCUGGACUGGGUGAAUCUUAUCUGCAUUUGGCAAUCAUGAUUCUGAGACUGAAAUUGUGUAACUCUGGAAUUUUAGAGGUGACUGCGUGACAAUUCUGAGAGGCCAAUGCCAAUGAGAGAAAAGUUUACUGCUACUCAUGAUGGCGCCCCUGGAAGCAGAAGACACAGCACGCUAUAGAGGGCCAUGUGGGAAAGCACUGGAGUAGCUCCAGGCCGGGCUUGCCAGUCUCUCUGCACUCUGGAAGGAGUUUGCCUGGGUUGGGGUUGUCCCUUGGUAGAUUCCAAACCUUCAUUUUGUCAAUUUACUUAAAGGUGACUGGGUUUAAAGGGGCUGACUGAUUGUAAAUAACUUGGAGAAUAAAUCAAUAUUCAUUAAUAAAGUUAAAUAAUUCACGUAAAAUUAAAGUAUAAUAGGCAUAAUUUAUAUUAUUGGUUUUUUUUUCAAUUUAGGGGCAUUCGCUCCUUCUUUAUAGAUUCACUCAGAAAAUUGUAUUAUGGAACACAGUUUCAUUCAUAAGUAUAGAGUUUGAGCGAAAGGGUAGAUAUUCUUUUCUGUAAAUUAAUUUUAAUUUGUACUUUAAGUUCUAGGGUACAUGUGCAGGAUGUGCAGGUUUGUUACAUAGGUAAACGUGUGCCAUGGUGGUUUGCCGCACCUAUCAACCCAUCAUCUAGGUAUUAAGCCUAGCAUGCAUUAGCUAUCUUUCCCAAUGCUCUCCCUCCCCAUCACCCCACCCCCCGACAGGCCCCAGUAUGUGUUGUUCCCCUCCCUGUGCCCAUGUGUUUUCUUGUUCAGCUCCCACUUAUAAGUGAGAGCAUGCGGUGCUUGUUUUUCUACUCCUGCAUUAGUUUGCUGAGGAUAAUGGCUUCCAGUUCCAUCCAUGUCCCUGCAGAGGACAUGAUCUCGUAUGCAAAAGGGAAGAUACUGUUAAAGCAUGUUUCUUUUCUUUUUUCUUUGACAUUUUAAAAAUUAACAUGAUUUCUGUCUAAAUACUGGGUACUCAUUAUUAGAAUAAGAGGACCUUCCAACAGCUGUGCAGGGGACAUUCCAUUGACACAUUCUUAGUCUUUGACUCUCUUCUGUUAAGAAUUCAUACAGAUUACUACCCUUCCAUUCAAAUCCAUUUGCUAAAUCAUACUUUGCCCACCUGAUAAGUCAAAGUUUGGAACUGUGUUCUUAAAUGAAUGAAUGAAUGAAUUAAACAUUAUUCUUGGUGAAAUUUGGGCAAUAUCUUUUGCUGUUUCUUAAAAAAUGUUCUAGUUUUAUCAGCAUCUUUGAAAGUCUCAGACUUGAAUGUUUCUAUGGAAGGAGUUAGCUGCACCCAUAUUUCAUAAGUUCUUCAUAGUUUUAAUAUCAAAUAAUGAGGUAUUAUUGCUAAUGUUGUCUGAUGUUAUAAUAGCAUUAUUACUAUAUUAGUAUUAUUAUUAUUUUUUGAGACAGAGUCUUGCUCUGUCGCCAGGCUGGAGUGCAGUGGCAUGAUCUCAGUUCACUGCAGCC
rnacentral:lncRNA from 1 species